UAUUCUGCCCUACGGGGAAGGAUGAGAAGCUUCGACUAAGGUUCGACUCGAGCGUAGCGAGAGAACGUUGCCGCAAGCAACGGCCCGAAGGGCGAGGCGCUUUAGCGCCGAGUCAUCCUUCCCCCACCAUUC
rnacentral:sRNA from 2 species